GGAUAGCUCAGUCACUAGAGCAUGAGACUCUUAAUCUCAUAGUUGUGGGUUCGAGCCCCACACUGGGAACA